rnacentral:rRNA from 1 species
UACGUAGGGUGCAAGCGUUGUCCGGAAUUAUUGGGCGUAAAGAGCUCGUAGGCGGUCUGUCGCGUCUGCUGUGAAAACUCAGGGCUUAACCCUGAGCUUGCAGUGGGUACGGGCAGACUAGAGUGCGGUAGGGGAGACUGGAAUUCCUGGUGUAGCGGUGAAAUGCGCAGAUAUCGGGAAGAACACCCGUGGCGAAGGCGGCUCUCUGGGACGGUACUGGACGGCGUGAGACGGCGAAAAGCGUGGGGAGCGAACAGG